UACAGAGGUCUCAAGCGUUGUUCGGAUUCAUUGGGCGUAAAGGGUGCGUAGGCGGCGCGGUAAGUCGGGUGUGAAAUCUCGGGGCUUAACUCCGAAACUGCACUUGAUACUGCUCUGCUUGAGGACUGGAGAGGAGACUGGAAUUCACGGUGUAGCAGUGAAAUGCGUAGAUAUCGUGAGGAAGACCAGUGGCGAAGGCGGGUCUCUGGACAGUUCCUGACGCUGAGGCGCGAAGGCCAGGGGAGCAAACGGG
rnacentral:rRNA from 1 species